UUGUUGCUACGAUCUGCUGAGGCUUAGCCUUUGUUCUACAGAUUUG
rnacentral:rRNA from 1 species